GACGAACGCUGGCGGCGUGCUUAACGCAUGCAAGUCGAACGGAAAGGCCCUGCUUUUGUGGGGUGCUCGAGUGGCGAACGGGUGAGUAACACGUGAGUAACCUGCCCUUGACUUUGGGAUAACUUCAGGAAACUGGGGCUAAUACCGGAUAGGAGCUCCUGCUGCAUGGUGGGGGUUGGAAAGUUUCGGCGGUUGGGGAUGGACUCGCGGCUUAUCAGCUUGUUGGUGGGGUAGUGGCUUACCAAGGCUUUGACGGGUAGCCGGCCUGAGAGGGUGACCGGCCACAUUGGGACUGAGAUACGGCCCAGACUCCUACGGGAGGCAGCAAUGGGGAAUAUUGCACAAUGGGCGGAAGCCUGAUGCAGCAACGCCGCGUGCGGGAUGACGGCCUUCGGGUUGUAAACCGCUUUCGCCUGUGACGAAGCGUGAGUGACGGUAAUGGGUAAAGAAGCACCGGCUAACUACGUG
rnacentral:rRNA from 1 species